rnacentral:lncRNA from 1 species
CUGGCUCCAGGCAGAGGUAAUGUCUAUUAGAGCUGGCUCCAGACAGAGGUAAUGUCUAUUAUAGCUGGCUCCAGGCAGAGGUAAUGUCUAUUAGAGCUGGCUGCAGACAGAAAUAAUGUAUAUUAUAGCUGGCUCCAGACAGAGGUAAUGUCUAUUAUAGGUAAUGUAAAAGGUCAGGUGUGUGUGUGUGUGUGCUAUAUCUGGGUCCAGCCAGACUGAAUGCUAAAUCAAAGUGUAUUGGUGGUGUACAUUGUCUAUCAGAUGUUACAGCAGGUGCAGAGAGAUGCUUCUAGGGAGUUGGCUAGGAGAUAGAAACAGGGAGACUGUCAGCGCCAUCUUGUUCAAAAGGUCAGGUCUUUCUGUGUCUGUGCGCCCGCACCUGUUGAAAACGGCA